rnacentral:RNase_P_RNA from 1 species
UGCAGAAACAGAAUUGUCGUCCCGAAUUUAUUUCGGGAAGGAAAGUCCGGACAGCAUAGGGCACCGCACCAUCUAACUGAUGGGAUUUAGUUACGCGAGUAAUUGAAGACAGAAAGUGUCACAGAAAAUAACCGUCCCGAUGUAAAAAUCGGGACAAGGGUGAAAACGGGAGGUAAGAGCUCACGAAUCGUACAAGCAAUUGUAUGAUUGGAAAAACCUUGCGGGCUGAAAGGUCAAAUAAAUUCCGCUCAGAUGUUGCCCGCAUCUCGCUUGCGAAAGCAAGAGGCGGAACGGGUUGACUGCUUGAUCACGAUUGUGAAAUCGUGACCAGAUAAAUGACAAUUGAGAAACAGAAUCCGGCUUAUUAAUUUCUGCAACAA